rnacentral:rRNA from 1 species
GAGUUUGAUCAUGGCUCAGAUUGAACGCUGGCGGCAGGCCUAACACAUGCAAGUCGAGCGGUAGCACAGAGAGCUUGCUCUCGGGUGACGAGCGGCGGACGGGUGAGUAAUGUCUGGGAAACUGCCUGAUGGAGGGGGAUAACUACUGGAAACGGUAGCUAAUACCGCAUAACGUCGCAAGACCAAAGUGGGGGACCUUCGGGCCUCAUGCCAUCAGAUGUGCCCAGAUGGGAUUAGCUAGUAGGUGGGGUAACGGCUCACCUAGGCGACGAUCCCUAGCUGGUCUGAGAGGAUGACCAGCCACACUGGAACUGAGACACGGUCCAGACUCCUACGGGAGGCAGCAGUGGGGAAUAUUGCACAAUGGGCACAAGCCUGAUGCAGCCAUGCCGCGUGUGUGAAGAAGGCCUUCGGGUUGUAAAGCACUUUCAGCGGGGAGGAAGGCGUUAAGGUUAAUAACCUUGGCGAUUGACGUUACCCGCAGAAGAAGCACCGGCUAACUCCGUGCCAGCAGCCGCGGUAAUACGGAGGGUGCAAGCGUUAAUCGGAAUUACUGGGCGUAAAGCGCACGCAGGCGGUCUGUCAAGUCGGAUGUGAAAUCCCCGGGCUCAACCUGGGAACUGCAUUCGAAACUGGCAGGCUAGAGUCUUGUAGAGGGGGGUAGAAUUCCAGGUGUAGCGGUGAAAUGCGUAGAGAUCUGGAGGAAUACCGGUGGCGAAGGCGGCCCCCUGGACAAAGACUGACGCUCAGGUGCGAAAGCGUGGGGAGCAAACAGGAUUAGAUACCCUGGUAGUCCACGCCGUAAACGAUGUCGAUUUGGAGGUUGUGCCCUUGAGGCGUGGCUUCCGGAGCUAACGCGUUAAAUCGACCGCCUGGGGAGUACGGCCGCAAGGUUAAAACUCAAAUGAAUUGACGGGGGCCCGCACAAGCGGUGGAGCAUGUGGUUUAAUUCGAUGCAACGCGAAGAACCUUACCUGGUCUUGACAUCCACAGAACUUUCCAGAGAUGGAUUGGUGCCUUCGGGAACUGUGAGACAGGUGCUGCAUGGCUGUCGUCAGCUCGUGUUGUGAAAUGUUGGGUUAAGUCCCGCAACGAGCGCAACCCUUAUCCUUUGUUGCCAGCGGUCCGGCCGGGAACUCAAAGGAGACUGCCAGUGAUAAACUGGAGGAAGGUGGGGAUGACGUCAAGUCAUCAUGGCCCUUACGACCAGGGCUACACACGUGCUACAAUGGCAUAUACAAAGAGAAGCGACCUCGCGAGAGCAAGCGGACCUCAUAAAGUAUGUCGUAGUCCGGAUUGGAGUCUGCAACUCGACUCCAUGAAGUCGGAAUCGCUAGUAAUCGUAGAUCAGAAUGCUACGGUGAAUACGUUCCCGGGCCUUGUACACACCGCCCGUCACACCAUGGGAGUGGGUUGCAAAAGAAGUAGGUAGCUUAACCUUCGGGAGGGCGCUUACCACUUUGUGAUUCAUGACUGGGGUGAAGUCGUAACAAGGUAACCGUA